UUUUAUGCACACGGAAAUGCAUAUACAUAUCAAAUUUUAACAGAAUAAGGGUGUCUCACAAAUUUUAUCACAUGUUGUGUGUGAAAAAGGUGCGUCCGAAAAUGCAUCUUUGGACGUUGGGGAUAUUUUAUUCUUUUCACGAUGACGAGGGAUAACCCCUAAGGGUGGAAAGAGAAAUUCCUUAAACUUAACGGCUUCCAUCUUUCAAAUGGAUAUUUUAUUUGGGUUGCUCAUGUAAGUAUUGUG
rnacentral:lncRNA from 1 species